rnacentral:rRNA from 1 species
UAGCCCUGAAAAUGGAUGGCGCUGAAGCGUCGUACCCACACCCGGCCGUCGGGUCGAGUGGCAGGUCCCGACGAGUAGGAGGGCGCGGCGGUGGCAGUGCAGCCUCGGGCGCGAGCCCGGGCGAAGCCGCCGCCGGUGCGGAUCUUGGUGGUAGUAGCAAAUAUUCAAACGAGAUCUUUGAAGACUGAAGUGGGGAAGGGUUCCAUGUCGACAGCAGUUGGACAUGGGUUAGUCGAUCCUAAGAGGAGGGAGAGGUCCCCCUGCAAGGCGCAGUCGUCUCGUUGCGACGGCGCCGUUCCUCGAAAGGGAGUCGGGUUAAGAUUCCCGAACCGGGAGGCGGAUAGGCCUUCGGGCCGCUAGCGGCGACGCAAGCGAACUCGGAGACGUCGGCGGGAGCUCCGGGAAGAGUUCUCUUUUCUUCUUAACGGGCUGUCCCCCUGGAAUCAGAUUGGCUGGAGAUAGGGUCUAAUGCCCGGUAAAGCGCCACACUUGUUGUGGCGUCCGGUGCGCUCCCGACGGCCCGUGAAAAUCCGAGGGAGCGGUUGAUUUUCGCGCCCGGUCGUACCGAUAUCCGCAUCAGGUCUCCAAGGUGAACAGCCUCUAGUUGAUAGAACAAUGUAGGU